rnacentral:rRNA from 1 species
UAGGGAAUCUUCCACAAUGGACGAAAGUCUGAUGGAGCAACGCCGCGUGAGUGAUGAAGGGUUUCGGCUCGUAAAACUCUGUUGUUGGAGAAGAACGGGUGUCAGAGUAACUGUUGACAUCGUGACGGUAUCCAACCAGAAAGCCACGGCUAACUACGUGCCAGCAGCCGCGGUAAUACGUAGGUGGCAAGCGUUGUCCGGAUUUAUUGGGCGUAAAGCGAGCGCAGGCGGUUUUUUAGGUCUGAUGUGAAAGCCUUCGGCUUAACCGGAGAAGUGCAUCGGAAACCGGGAGACUUGAGUGCAGAAGAGGACAGUGGAACUCCAUGUGUAGCGGUGAAAUGCGUAGAUAUAUGGAAGAACACCAGUGGCGAAGGCGGCUGUCUGGUCUGCAACUGACGCUGAGGCUCGAAAGCAUGGGUAGCGAACAGGAUUAGAUACCCUGGUAGUCCAUGCCGUAAACGAUGAGUGCUAAGUGUUGGAGGGUUUCCGCCCUUCAGUGCUGCAGCUAACGCAUUAAGCACUCCGCCUGGGGGAGUACGACCGCAAGGUGAAAC